UACGUAGGGGGCAAGCGUUGUCCGGAUUAUUGGGCGUAAAGAGCUCGUAGGCGGUUCAGUCAGUCGGGUGUGAAAUCUCCGGGCUCAACCCGGAGGGGCCACCCGAUACUGCUGGACUUGAGUUCGGUAGGGGAGCGGGGAAUUCCUGGUGUAGCGGUGAAAUGCGCAGAUAUCAGGAGGAACACCGGUGGCGAAGGCGCCGCCUCUGGGCCGACACUGACGCUGAGGAGCGAAAGCGUGGGUAGCAAACAGG
rnacentral:rRNA from 1 species